rnacentral:rRNA from 1 species
CCUACGGGCGGCAGCAGUGGGGAAUAUUGCACAAUGGGCGAAACCCUGAUGCAGCGACGCCGCGUGAGCGAUGAAGGCCUUCGGGUUGUAAAGCUCUGUCAUCAAGGAAGAAAAUGACGGUACCUGACGAAGAAGCCCCGGCUAACUACGUGCCAGCAGCCGCGGUAAUACGUAGGGGGCUAGCGUUAUCCGGAUUUACUGGGGGUAAAGGGAGCGUAGAUGGUUCUGUAAGGCAGAUGUGAAAGGCCACGGCUCAACCCUUGGAAAGCAUUUGAAACUGGCAAGCUUGAGUGUAGGAGAGGAAGGCGGAAUUCCUAGUGUAGCGGUGAAAUGCGUAGAUAUUAGGAGGAACACCAGUUGCGAAGGCGGCUUGCUGGACUGUGACUGACAUUGAGGCUCGAAAGCGUGGGGAGCAAACAGGAUUAGAUACCCUAGUAGUC